GGCGUCCCGCGGAAAAAGGACGGCGGGGACGGGGAGAGUGUAGAGACUCUGGAGCUGUCACUGAAAGUGGAGUGUCUUGUUCAGACAGAGCCAAAAACAAUCCUGCGAUGUCCAAAGCUAUUUAGGAAGCCUAAAGAAAUUGUACAAGGAAGAUCCUACCUGAUGGAAGCAGCAAGAUCUGAGAUAUAAAGGAAAGAAGAACAUUCUAAAUGACACCACUGGGAUUUCAUAAAACCCUGAUUGUGAAAAGCUCUCAAAAGAAUAUGUAUUCGUUGUAGAAAAAAUUCGUUGUAAAUAUGGAGAAGCUGAAAGGUUGACAUAAGUUUCAUAGUCUGAUUGCUUGACAUUUAUUCAGGACCCCCACUCUGCUCUACAUGUGGCUGGUGUUUACUUCAGUGUGGGGAAUACAGAAGGAACUGAGUUCAGAAAACAAAAGGCCUUACAUUCUGGUGUGAAGAGUGAGGUAAAGAUUGUUCUUGUUGCUGGAGGUUUUCAACAGCGCAGCAAUGUGAGCUGAUUUAAGUUUUAAAAAAUUGGUCUAAAUCCUGAAUGGAGAAUGAACUUUGCAAAGGUAAAGAAAGGGGUAAAUUGAAAAGAAAAACAAUCCUCAUAUAUCUGCUUCCAUUUUCGUGGGUAUAUUUU